ACACGGCCCAGACUCCUACGGGAGGCAGCAGUAGGGAAUCUUCCGCAAUGGACGAAAGUCUGACGGAGCAACGCCGCGUGAGUGAUGAAGGCUUUCGGGUCGUAAAACUCUGUUGUUAGGGAAGAACAAGUGCUAGUUGAAUAAGCUGGCACCUUGACGGUACCUAACCAGAAAGCCACGGCUAACUACGUGCCAGCAGCCGCGGUAAUACGUAGGUGGCAAGCGUUAUCCGGAAUUAUUGGGCGUAAAGCGCGCGCAGGUGGUUUCUUAAGUCUGAUGUGAAAGCCCACGGCUCAACCGUGGAGGGUCAUUGGAAACUGGGAGACUUGAGUGCAGAAGAGGAAAGUGGAAUUCCAUGUGUAGCGGUGAAAUGCGUAGAGAUAUGGAGGAACACCAGUGGCGAAGGCGACUUUCUGGUCUGUAACUGACACUGAGGCGCGAAAGCGUGGGGAGCAAACAGGAUUAGAUACCCUGGUAGUCCACGCCGUAAACGAUGAGUGCUAAGUGUUAGAGGGUUUCCGCCCUUUAGUGCUGAAGUUAACGCAUUAAGCACUCCGCCUGGGGAGUACGGCCGCAAGGCU
rnacentral:rRNA from 1 species